rnacentral:rRNA from 1 species
UAGUAAGCGGAGGAAAAGAAACUAACUAGGAUUCCCUUAGUAGCGGCGAGCGAACAGGGAGAAGCCCAGCACCGAAUCCCGCGAUCCAACAGGUCGCCGGGAAAUGUGGUGUUUAGAAGGAUCCGUUAUCUCCGCGAUCGAUGACCUGUCCAAGUCCAUCUUGAACGGGGCCACUACCCAUAGAGGGUGCCAGGCCCGUAGGACGGUAACGAUCGUAGAGAGGAUCUCUUCUGAGAGUCGGGUUGCUUGAGAGUGCAGCCCUAAGUGGGUGGUAAACUCCAUCUAAGGCUAAAUAUGACCACGAGACCGAUAGCGAACAAGUACCGUGAGGGAAAGUUGAAAAGAACUUUGAAGAGAGAGUUCAAUAGUACGUGAAACCGUUCAGGGGUAAACCUGAGAAACCCGAAAGGUCGAACGGAGAGAUUCAUUCGCGGUACGGAUGUUCGUCGUAGACUCCGGGAUGAGGAGUCGCUCUUCGUGAGCGAUUUGCCCCGCUGGCUCCGAAAUAACGUCGAGCGCGUGCACUUCUCUUCUAGUAGGACGUCGCGAUCCGUUGGGUGCCGGUCGAAGGCCCGCAAGGGAGCCCACGAGCACGAAGUAAUUCGUCGUUCGCGGACCUGCGGUCGCCUUUCCGGCCGCCCGACGGUGCACAGAUGGCGCGAGGCCGCGAUUUUCGCGCCCGGCCCGCGGCAAGCUCGCUUUACGUGCCGGCUCUCGGAAUUACCGCCGAAGCCAGCCUCUAGCGGUUGUUCGCCGCGGCGUUCUCGGGUAGACCUUAACGCCGAUCUGCGACGCUACAGCUUUGGGUACUCUCAGGGCCCGUCUUGAAACACGGACCAAGGAGUCCAGCGUGUGCGCGAGUCAUUGGGUCUAACUAAACCUAAAGGCGAAAUGAAAGUGAAGGUCCUUCGGGAUCGAGGGAAGAUGGCCGAUCCUCGGAUUAGCCCGCACUCCCGGGGCGUCUCGAUCUCUUUUAGAGAUGAGGCGCACCAAGAGCGUACACGCUGGGACCCGAAAGAUGGUGAACUAUGCCCGGUCAGGACGAAGUCAGGGGAAACCCUGAUGGAGGUCCGUAGCGGUUCUGACGUGCAAAUCGAUCGUCUGAACUGGGUAUAGGGGCGAAAGACUAAUCGAACCAUCUAGUAGCUGGUUCCCCCCGAAGUUUCCCUCAGGAUAGCUGGCGCUCGAUGCGUAAGAUUCUCAUCCGGUAAAGCGAAUGAUUAGAGGCAUUGGGGUCGAAACGACCUCAACCUAUUCUCAAACUUUAAAUGGGUGAGAACUCCGGCUUGCUCGAAAGUGAAGCCGCGAGAUCACGGAUCAGAGUGCCAAGUGGGCCAUUUUUGGUAAGCAGAACUGGCGCUGUGGGAUGAACCAAACGCCGAGUUAAAGCGCCUAAAUCGACGCUUAUGGGACACCAUGAAAGGCGUUGGUAACUUAAGACAGCAGGACGGUGGCCAUGGAAGUCGGAAUCCGCUAAGGAGUGUGUAACAACUCACCUGCCGAAGUUACUAGCCCUGAAAAUGGAUGGCGCUAAAGCGUCGUGCUUAUACUCGGCCGUCAGCGGCAAGUGCGGUCGCGCAAGCGGCCAUGAAGCCCUGACGAGUAGGGGGGUCGCGGCGGUGCGCGCAGAAGGGUUGGCCGUGAGGCCGCCUGGAGCCGCCGUCGGUGCAGAUCUUGGUGGUAGUAGCAAAUACUCCAGCGAGGCCCUGGAGAACUGAGGUGGAGAAGGGUUUCGUGUGAACAGUCGUUGCACACGAGUCAGUCGAUCCUAAGCCCUAGGCGAAAGCCGAGGUUGAUGUGGUUGCAGUCCAUCGAACGUAAAAAAGUCAGUAGGCACUCGCGAUACACGCUCGCGAUCAAGAGCUAAAGUCUCAGGUUCGCUCGAGCGAGUUCGAGUGCCGGCAGCUUCGGUACGAUGUCGUACGCACCCGUCCGGGCGAAAGGGAAUCCGGUUCCUAUUCCGGAACCCGGCAGCGGAACCGUCGUAUAAACCGGGCCCUCGAAAGAGAGUUCGUCGGGGUAACCCGAAAGGACCCGGAGACGCCGUAGGGAUAUCCGGGAAGAGUUUUCUUUUCUGCAUAAGCGUUCGAGAUCCAUGGAAUCCUUUAGCAGGGAGAUAUGGAUUGGAACGCGAAGAGCACCGUACUUGCGGCGGUGUCCGGAUCAUCCCAUCGGCCCUUGAAAAUCCGGGAGAGGGCCACGUGUAGGAAUCGCGCCGGUUCGUACCCAUAUCCGCAGCAGGUCUCCA